rnacentral:antisense_RNA from 14 species
CUUGAUCGAGCCGAGCCAGAGCGGCCGCUCCGCUGUGUGCGCCUUGCCGUAGGUCGCCAGCAGCGCCUGCGCCUC